GUGGAUGUAGUUCAACGGUUAGAACGCCUGAUUGUGGCUCAGGAAGUUGCAGGUUCAAAUCCCGUCAUCUACC
rnacentral:tRNA from 1 species